rnacentral:rRNA from 1 species
GCUGACCAGCUAGCCCACCCUAACAAAAACAACAACCCAAUAUAAAUAACCCCAAACACACUACUCCUCCUAUAAACAAACCAUUUUACCCCCCUAGUAUGGGCGACAGAAAAGGAACUAUUGGAGCGAUAGAGAAAGUACCGCAAGGGAACGCUGAAAGAGAAAUGAAAUAACCCAGUAAAGCCUAAAAAAGCAGAGAUUUUACCUCGUACCUUUUGCAUCAUGAUUUAGCUAGUACUACCCAAGCAAAGAGAACUUUAGUUUGGACCCCCGAAACUAGGUGAGCUACUCCAAGACAGCCUAUCAAUAGGGCAAACCCGUCUCUGUGGCAAAAGAGUGGGAAGAGCUUUGAGUAGAGGUGACAGACCUACCGAACCUAGUUAUAGCUGGUUGCCUGAGAAUUGGAUAGGAGUUCAGCCUCCAGGCUUCUCUAUUCACCGCGGUCUUACCCCUACCGAUGCACUAAAGAAGCCUAGAGAGUUAAUCAAAGGGGGUACAGCCCCUUUGAGACAAGAUACAACUUUUCCAGGAGGGUAAAGAUCAUAUUUACCCAAGGUAACAAUGCCCAGGUGGGCCUAAAAGCAGCCAUCCUUACAGAAAGCGUUAAAGCUCAAGCAUUACACCUUCCCACAUAUUCAGAUAACCAUAUCCCAACCCCCUAAUAUUAUCAGGCCAUCUCAUGCAUACAUGAGAGUGCACAUGCUAAUAUGAGUAACAAGAGAGCCUCCGCCUCUCUCCUUGCACACGUGUAAAUCGGAACGAACCCCCACCGAAACUUAACGGCCCCAAACAAAGAGGGCAAUGAACAACAAGUAAGCAACCAGAAAACCAUCCAAAAAACAACCGUUAACCCCACACUGGUGUGCCAUUAAGGAAAGACUAAAAGAAAAAGAAGGAACUCGGCAAACAUACCAAGCCUCGCCUGUUUACCAAAAACAUCGCCUCUUGCAAAAACAAAGAAUAAGAGGUCCAGCCUGCCCUGUGACUAUAUGUUUAACGGCCGCGGUAUUUUAACCGUGCGAAGGUAGCGCAAUCACUUGUCUUUUAAAUGGAGACCUGUAUGAAUGGCAUUACGAGGGCUUAACUGUCUCCUUUUUCUAGUCAGUGAAAUUGAUCUCCCCGUGCAGAAGCGGGGAUGUAACCAUAAGACGAGAAGACCCUAUGGAGCUUUAGACACCAAGGCAUAUCAUGUUAAACACCCCUAAACAAAGGACUAAACCAAAUGAAUCAUGCCCCCAUGUCUUUGGUUGGGGCGACCGCGGGGAAAUAAAAAACCCCCACGUGGAAUGGGAGUACUACCUCCUACAACCAAGAGCUGCAGCUCUAAAAAACAGAAUAUCUGACCAAUAAGAUCCGGCAACGCCGAUCAACGGACCGAGUUACCCUAGGGAUAACAGCGCAAUCCCCUUUUAGAGCCCAUAUCGACAAGGGGGUUUACGACCUCGAUGUUGGAUCAGGACAUCCUAAUGGUGCAGCCGCUGUUAAGGGUUCGUUUGUUCAACGAUUAAAGUCCUACGUGAUCUGAGUUCAGACCGGAGUAAUCCAGGUCAGUUUCUAUCUAUGAUAUGUUCUUUUCUAGUACGAAAGGACCGAAAAGAAGAGGCCAAUGCUAAAAGCACGCCUCACCCCUCCUAUUGAAAACAACUAAAAUAGGCAAAAGGGCAUACCCCUCCACGCCCAAGAUAAUGGCAU